rnacentral:lncRNA from 1 species
UCUGGUUUACUAACAGUGAGAUAUUGCUGACUAGUGAUCCAGCUAAUGUUCACUACAUAUUGAGCAAAAAUUUUCCAAACUUCACAAAAGGUCCUGAAUUUAAGAAGAUAUUCGACAUUUUAGGAGAUGGGAUAUUCAAUGCAGAAUCGGAAUCCUGGAAAAACCAAAGGAGAACUGUUAUGUCGUUAAUCAAUCACCACAAGUUCCAAAAGUUCGUUGCUACAAUUAGCCAGAACAAGGUGGAAGAAGGGCUCAUCCCAGUUCUUGAGAAUGCUGCAAAAAUGGGAAAGGAAGUGGAUAUGCAAGAGUUAUUUCAGCGUUUCACCUUUGAUUCUGCUUGCAUUAUGGUUUUAGGCCAUGAUCCAGCUUCAUUGUGCAUUGAUUUGCCCCAUUUGCCAUAUGAAAAGGCCUUUGCUGAUGCUGAGG